rnacentral:rRNA from 1 species
CUUGACUCUGGGAUAAGCGUUGGAAACGACGUCUAAUACCGGAUACGAGCUUCCACCGCAUGGUGAGUUGCUGGAAAGAAUUUUGGUCAAGGAUGGACUCGCGGCCUAUCAGCUUGUUGGUGAGGUAACGGCUCACCAAGGCGACGACGGGUAGCCGGCCUGAGAGGGUGACCGGCCACACUGGGACUGAGACACGGCCCAGACUCCUACGGGAGGCAGCAGUGGGGAAUAUUGCACAAUGGGCGAAAGCCUGAUGCAGCAACGCCGCGUGAGGGACGACGGCCUUCGGGUUGUAAACCUCUUUUAGCAGGGAAGAAGCGAAAGUGACGGUACCUGCAGAAAAAGCACCGGCUAACUACGUGCCAGCAGCCGCGGUAAUACGUAGGGUGCAAGCGUUGUCCGGAAUUAUUGGGCGUAAAGAGCUCGUAGGCGGUUUGUCGCGUCUGCUGUGAAAUCCCGAGGCUCAACCUCGGGUCUGCAGUGGGUACGGGCAGACUAGAGUGCGGUAGGGGAGAUUGGAAUUCCUGGUGUAGCGGUGGAA